rnacentral:rRNA from 1 species
AACGAACGCUGGCGGCAUGCCUAACACAUGCAAGUCGAACGAGACCUUCGGGUCUAGUGGCGCACGGGUUCGUAACGCGUGGGAACCUGCCCUUAGGUUCGGAAUAACUCCCCGAAAGGGGUGCUAAUACCGGUUAAUGUCUUCGGACCAAAGAUUUAUGGCCUUUGGAUGGGCCCGCGUUGGAUUAGCUUGUUGGUAGUGUAAAAGCCUACCAAGGCGACGAUCCAUAGCUGGUCUGAGAGGAUGAUCAGCCACACUGGGACUGAGACACGGCCCAGACUACUACGGGAAGCAGGAGUGGGGAAUAUUGGAAAAUGGGCGAAAGCCUGAUAAAGCAAUGCCGCGUGAGUGAUGAAGGCCUUAGGGUUGUAAAGCUCUUUUAACCGGGAUGAUAAUGACAGUAACGGGAGAAUAAGCACCGGCUAACUACGUG